rnacentral:rRNA from 1 species
ACGUACGCUGGCGGCACGCCUAACACAUGCAAGUCGAACGAAGUAGCAAUACUUAGUGGCAGACGGGUGAGUAACAUGUGGGUAUCUACCCUUUGGCCUGGAAUAACACGAGGAAACUUGUGCUAAUACCGGAUAAGUCUUUACGGAGAAAGCUUUAUGCACCAUUGGAUGAGCCCGCACUUGAUUAGUUUGUUGGUAGGGUAAAGCCUACCAAGGCGACGAUCUUUAGCUGGUCUGAGAGGAUGAUCAGCCACAUCGGGACUGAGACACGGCCCGAACUCCUACGGGAGGCAGCAGUGGGGAAUCUUGC